GAAGGAAGGAGGUUCACAGCCCGGGUGAGGAACGACAUGCCUCUCCCCAGGCAUAUUAAUCGAUCUUGGAUGGAAGUUUCCCACCCAGGGCUCCUGGUCUCACUCUCACUGCUGGAAUGAGUCCCUUUUGCUUUCUGCUGGCAGCUGUUGUGUUCCUGCUGCUAUUACACAGUAAAGUCCGGCAUGCAGUAGGAGUUCAGGUACCACGGCAAAUUGUCUAGCAUCCGCAUCCACUUGAGAAGUCUGCUUGUUCUUGUUCUUAGGGAAAACAAGUCAACUCAACACAAGGAAAAUGCAUUUUGAAUGCGUGGACUGGUCCUGACGGUUGAUGGUUAUGUGAAGUUUUGCAUUUGGAGGGUGCUGGGAGGCUGCUUGAUGAAAUGCGUGAGAGAAGAGAACUUGCUAUGUCGGGCAUGCACAUUGUUGAUUGACCGCUAAUGCAGAGGAUGAAAGAAAGGGAACAUGGAAGAUGCAAAUUGUAGUUUCAUAAUUUCAUACCA